AUAAAAGCUACCCUGGGGAUAACAGGCUUAUCACUCCCAAGAGUUCACAUCGACGGAGUGGUUUGGCACCUCGAUGUCGGCUCAUCGCAUCCUGGGGCUGUAGCAGGUCCCAAGGGUUGGGCUGUUCGCCCAUUAAAGCGGUACGCGAGCUGGGUUCAGAACGUCGUGAGACAGUUCGGUCCCUAUCCGGCGCGGGCGUAGGAUAUCUGAGAGGAGCUGUCCUUAGUACGAGAGGACCGGGAUGGACGGACCGCUGGUGUAUCAGCUGCAUCGCCAGAUGCAUAAGGCUG
rnacentral:rRNA from 1 species